CUGCAUGCCUACGUGUGUGCUAGGGUUGGCAGGAACUUCUCUCGAUGUACCUGCUCCAUCAUACCCUUUUUCCACAAGCUCAUCGGAGUCAUUUUUUCUGGUUGGACUAAGCUUGACGUGAAUAUCAUCAAGAAUUGAAACUUCAAAGUUCCAAUAUCCCAAAGACAGAUCUACCUUCAUCGGAAGUUUAUCCUGAUUCCUCACGCGAAUACGGGCCCAAAAAAGAUGAACUUUGUGCUUUGUAUCCUUGUCUAUGCCUACAAAUCCAUCACAUUGUCCUUCAAUGGUCUUUAAAGUGCUUUCCGACCAUGCAUAUAGAGGGAUACAUAAAGGCUUUGACCCAUCUAUGUUCUGACGCUGUAUUCUUCGCCUGCACGCCUGUCAUCGGGGACUACCAGUCCAAGAAUAAUCUUUUGCCAUUCCAGAACCAUUCUCCUGCCUUGAUUCUGACAGCUUCUUGUCUUGAGGGAAAGUCGAACAGGAACUGAUUGUGAUUCAUGAAUGUGAUUUCAAGGCCAGCAGUAACCUUCCAUCUUUUCACAAACCUUUCUUGGAUCACUACUGGGUUUUGGACUCUUACUGAAGGCAUCAUUGAAACAUCCGAUAAGACAUUUCAAGAGAAAGUGUUCAUUCUGAGGCACCCCAUCUACUGGACCUUUUGUUUCCUGGGUGGUUGGCCAUUACGUGAUCUUCGCAGCUUCCAUGUAUGUCCUGGAUUGAUCUGUCGCAAGCUGGAACAUUGGAUUUGAAGCCUUCCCCAGAUAUCUUAAAAUUUUAUCUAUAAUGUCCCCCAAUCUCUUAUUGUGGUCAUUUUCAGGGAUUAUUACUGCAGGUUUUCCCCUUAGAGUGGUUUCAAUUCGCAAGAACCUCCCAUAUAUGUUGAAAUUUUGAACUACUCUGGAUAUAUAGACUUGUAUCCUUCUG
rnacentral:lncRNA from 1 species